rnacentral:rRNA from 1 species
UACGUAGGGACCAAGCGUUUGUUCGGAUUUACUGGGCGUAAAGGGCGCGUAGGCGGCAAUUCAAGUCAUCUGUGAAAUCUCCGGGCUUAACCCGGAACGGUCAGAUGAUACUGCUUUGCUAGAGUGCGGAAGGGGCAAUCGGAAUUCUCGGUGUAGCGGUGAAAUGCGUAGAUAUCGAGAGGAACACCAGAGGUGAAGACGGGUUGCUGGGCCGACACUGACGCUGAUAGCGCGAAAGCCAGGGGAGCAAACGGG